rnacentral:rRNA from 1 species
GUAGGUGGCAAGCGUUAUCCGGAAUUAUUGGGCGUAAAGCGCGCGCAGGCGGUUUCUUAAGUCUGAUGUGAAAGCUCACGGCUCAACCGUGGAGGGUCAUUGGAAACUGGGGAACUUGAGUGCAGAAGAGAAAAGCGGAAUUCCACGUGUAGCGGUGAAAUGCGUAGAGAUGUGGAGGAACACCAGUGGCGAAGGCGGCUUUUUGGUCUGUAACUGACGCUGAGGCGCGAAAGCGUGGGGAGCAAACAGGGAUUAGAUACCCUGGUAGUCCACGCCGUAAACGAUGAGUGCUAAGUGUUAGAGGGUUUUCCGCCCCUUUAGUGCUGCAGCUAACGCAUUAAGCACUCCGCCUGGGAGUACGGUCGCAAGACUG